UGCAAUGCCUCCUAGAGCUGAGGGAAGACAGAUACCAGUGCAGACGAUAUGAGCCUCCGGUGCUUUGCAAAGACCUCAAGGACUGAAAUUUGGAAUGCUGCACAAAAUGAAGAAGAUGAAGAAAAGAAGGUCAGAAGAGACUGAAAUGGAUUUCGGUGAAGAUGUUUUACCUGCGAUCUUACACAGGAAACAGGUGGCCACUGGACAGCAACUGCUGGCGUCCUUCUUUUUAAAGAAAGGCAAGCAUAAUGAAUUCAAGCAUGGAUAUCACAGUGGAUAUUUAUUAAUGUUUAAACA